AGGCGCGUAGCUCAGUUGGUAGAGCGCUGCCUCGACACGGCAGAGGUCUGGGGUUCAAGUCCCCACGCGCCUA
rnacentral:tRNA from 3 species